rnacentral:rRNA from 1 species
GACGAACGCUGGCGGCGUGCCUAAUACAUGCAAGUCGAACGCACUUUCUUCACCGGAGCUUGCUCCACCGAAAGAAAGUGAGUGGCGGACGGGUGAGUAACACGUGGGCAACCUGCCCAUCAGAGGGGGAUAACACUUGGAAACAGGUGCUAAUACCGCAUAAUUUGUUUUUCCGCAUGGGAGAAUAAUAAAAGACCGCUUUCGGUGUCACUGGUGGAUGGGCCCCGCGCUGCAUUAGUUAGUUGGUGGGGUAACGGCCUACCAAGACCGUGAUGCAUAGCCGACCUGAGAGGUGAUCGGCCACACUGGGACUGAGACACGGCCCAGACUCCUACGGGA